rnacentral:lncRNA from 1 species
CUUUCUUCUGAUGUGUUCCUGUCAUGCUAUGAACCAUAUUCUAGCUUCUUCUCAGUCAUGGAAGCAGCACGGUACUCAACCCCUGAUGUUAUUACUGCCUCCAACCACAAGCUCAGGAGGAGAGUUUCAGGAAGCAGGUGUCUUUUCGGCCUUGUUUAUCUGGAAUCCAGCCCUAGCAUGGUGCCUGGUACAGUCAGGGUUCAAUAAACAUUCGUUGAGUGAAUGAGUGAGCAAGUCAACUGAGGUGGCCAUGGAAGGUGCUAGAAGACCAUAUGUUGGAAUCAAGUGCUUCAGAGCGUAAUUCUCUACCUAGAGCAGAGGAAGAUUUUGCUAAGACAACAGAAGACCAGAGGAAGCUGGAAUCAUUGGUCUCUUGGCCAGAUACUUCAACCUAGCUACCCUCAAAAAAACACAUUUCCGAUUAGUAUACUAAAUAUUUAUUGCAACAUUUAUAAUGUGCCAGAUACUAUGUACAACUACAGGGAUAUCCCGCCCCCCCCAAAAAAAGAAUAUUGUCUCAACCCCAAAGAUUUCUUGGUAUAAUAAGGAAAGAAUACUUUUUUGAACCAAAUGUUAUAUGCCCAUGUAUUAAAUUUUAGACUGAACCAAAUAAAUGCUUUAUUUAAAAAAGAAAUCUCAUGAAGCAGUGAGUUUGAAUUACUAUUCUGUGUGUCUGUAUUCCCUCAGUCUUUGCACUGAAAUAGCAUGAGAAAGGCAGACCAUUUCUCACAGACAGCACCUGGAAGAAGCACUCUGUUCGGAUUGAGUCCAUAUUUCCUUCUUCUCUUUGACUAUUUAUUCUUUGCCCUUUGCCUAUCUCAGCAUUCUUUCUCCACAGGCACACCUAGAAUUUUUGAUGGAAGCUGUCACCAGUGACCAAGUGACUCUUCUCAUUUGUAUUUGUCACAGAAGGAGCACAUCUCAUGAGGACCUUGCCAGUCAUACUCCCUGGCCUUACUGUUACAGUAGGGAAAGUUCCCUUCUCUAGAAUUAUCCUUGAAAAACAGGCAGGGGCUUUAAUCUGUCUAGAGGAGUCUGUCUACUCUGUGAAAGAGAGGUAUAUAUAAAACGACCUCAAAAGGCCAAAGGUGCCAUAAGACCAGAGAAAAAAGACUGACAAGUUCAGCUUGUUG